UUUCCAAGUCGAGAUUGUGUUACAUAUCAAAGGACCAGAUCAAAUGCCAUCGUUAAAAAUGAAGACCAAACUAAGCAUGGAUUCUUUAAGAGAAAAAAGUUGUCUGAGUGUGUGUCAAAAGUCUAGUAUGAUAUCCAAAAAAUCAGGUUCUCAUGUCAUGGUUCCUCGACAAGCAGCAGAAUGUGAUGCUUAUAUUCAGAAAUGUCAGAAUGGCUAUGUUCAAUCAAGUUUAGAAAUAUACACCCCGGAUAUUGAAAGUGAUGAAGCCAUUAACCAGCGAGAUUUUUCAAGU
rnacentral:misc_RNA from 1 species